AUUCAGUGGCUGAGAAACUUAGUGAUUCUAGUUUGUUCAGUCGAAAUGCUAGAACCAAAAGAAACAUACUUAAUGAAUCUCUAGAUGUUGCUGAGGCUUCAAAUGUUAGUGUUACUUGCAACACACUGAAAAUUCCACUUUCUUCUUCAGAUGGAAAUUCCUUUUCAACAAAUUUCACAGUAAACAUAAGACAUUCAGAAGAAGAAGGCAUGUACUUAACCUUUAUUUCCAUCGCUGUUUCAAUGACGAAAUAAUUCCCAUUAACCUAACCAUUGAGGUUACCGAAACCAACGGUGAUAUAAACUACCUAUCAGCUGAAACGGCAUGGAACUUUUUGCUGUUCCUCUUACAAAAGUAACUGGAUCGCGUUCGACGGCCGAUCGUUUCGCUUUCGGAAAAACCGAUGGGAGGAAAGGUGGAGCCGG